rnacentral:rRNA from 1 species
GAAAGCUUGCUUUCUUUGCUGGCGACCGGCGCACGGGUGAGUAACACGUAUCCAACCUGCCCUUUACUCGGGGAUAGCCUUUCAAAAGAAAGAUUAAUACCCGAUGGGAUAAUCAUUCCGCAUGGUUUGAUUAUUAAAGGAUUCCGGUAAAGGAUGGGGAUGCGUUCCAUUAGGUUGUUGGUGAGGUAACGGCCCACCAAGCCUUCGAUGGAUAGGGGUUCUGAGAGGAAGGUCCCCCACAUUGGAACUGAGACACGGUCCAAACUCCUACGGGAGGCAGCAGUGAGGAAUAUUGGUCAAUGGGCGAUGGCCUGAACCAGCCAAGUAGCGUGAAGGAUGACUGCCCUAUGGGUUGUAAACUUCUUUUAUAUCAGAAUAAAGUGCAGUAUGUAUACUGUUUUGUAUGUAUAAUAUGAAUAAGGAUCGGCUAACUCCGUGCCAGCAGCCGCGGUAAUACGGAGGAUCCGAGCGUUAUCCGGAUUUAUUGGGUUUAAAGGGAGCGUAGGUGGACUGGUAAGUCAGUUGUGAAAGUUUGCGGCUCAACCGUAGAAUUGCAGUUGAUACUGUCAGUCUUGAGUACAGUAGAGGUGGACUGAAUUCGUGGUGUAG